rnacentral:rRNA from 1 species
UAAGACAGAGGUGCCAAGCGUUAGGCGGAAUCACUGGGCUUAAAGCGUGUGUAGGCGGGCGGGCAAGUACCUUGUGAAAUCCCACGGCUCAACCGUGGAACGGCUGGGUAUACUGCCUGUCUUGAGCCAGCUAGGGGCGACCGGAACAGACGGUGGAGCGGUGAAAUGCGUAGAUAUCGUCUGGAACGCCAAAGGUGAAAACAGGUCGCUGGGGCUGAGCUGACGCUGAGACACGAAAGCCAGGGGAGCGAACGGGAUUAGAUACCCCGGUAGUCCUGGCCCUAAACGAUGUCGACUAGAUCGCAGGACCUCUGACGGUUUUGCGGUCGCAGCAAAAGUGCUAAGUCGACCGCCUGGGAAGUACGGUCGCAAGGCUA